AAACGACUCUCGGUAACGGAUAUCUCGGCUCUCGCAUCGAUGAAGAACGUAGUUGAAAUGCGAUACUUGGUGUGAAUUGCAGAAUCCCGCGAACCAUCGAGUCUUUGAACGCAAGUUGCGCCCGAAGCCGUCCGGCCGAGGGCAAGUCUGCCUGGGCGUCACRC
rnacentral:rRNA from 1 species